rnacentral:rRNA from 1 species
CCUACGGGAGGCAGCAGUGAGGAAUAUUGGUCAAUGGUCGGGAGACUGAACCAGCCAAGCCGCGUGAGGGAUGAAGGUACAGAGUAUCGUAAACCUCUUUUGUCAGGGAACAAAGGCGGGGACGUGUCCCCGGAUGAGUGUACCUGAAGAAAUAGCAUCGGCUAACUCCGUGCCAGCAGCCGCGGUAAUAGGGAGGAUGCGAGGGUUAUCCGGAUUUAUUGGGUUUAAAGGGUGCGCGGGCGGUCUGUUAAGUCAGCGGUAAAAGCCCGGGGCGAAACCCCGGCCCGCCGUUGAAACUGGCAGUCUCGAGUUGGAGAGAAGUAUGCGGAAUGCGCGGUGUAGCGGUGAAAUGCAUGGAUAUCGCGCAGAACUCCGAUUGCGAAGGCAGCAUGCCGGCUCCACACUGACGCUGAGGCACGAAAGCGUGGGUAUCGAACAGGAUUAGAUACCCCUGUAGUC